rnacentral:tRNA from 1 species
GCCGUUGUAGCUCAGUCGGUAGAGCAAUUCCAUGGUAAGGAAUAGGUCCGCAGUUCGAUUCUGCGCAACGGCU